rnacentral:lncRNA from 1 species
CCUCCGCUCCCACCCGACUCGCUCGCGUCUCCGCCGUCUCCCCGGUGUCCCCUCCCACCCCGCUCCGCCCCCCCCCCCCCGCCCCCCAGCCAGCCGCGUCCUCCCGGGCUCGGUGAGGAACUGUUCCCGGAGGAGCCGCGGGACGCCGAAAGCAGCCAAUGGGAAGAGGCGAGACGCCGAGAUUGGCACCGUGGAUGGGAAGCUAUACUUCCAGCAUUGGAGCCAGGUGGGAAAGCAAAGCAAAAGCAAAGCAAAACAGCAACCAAAACCCACAAAGUGGUUGGUUAACUGUUGGUAAAACAGCUGAGCUGCAAAGAAGGAGGACCUGCAGACCAGAGCUGACAUGAUGUGAGUUUGGUCAGUUCACGGAUGUGAAGAUUGAUCAUUUCACGUUCGUCUGUGUGCGAGAAGUGCUCCUUCUGCUCCUGAAGUAUCUGGUUGGGAUUCCAUUUCUUUGUUGGAGAACCAAACCCAUCCACAAGGUAAGGAAUCCUGGGGAGCCUUCAACCCAGACUCUUAGGGUUUCCAUUGCUAAUCUCAAUUUCCCAGAGGGUUUGGUACGGCCAAUGACACAACUCGAUUGGGAAGUGUAAAGAAAGAAUGGACGAUCACUCCUGUAGGAAAGAGAUGUGGCACACCUAAGGGUUAAGGAGGGACGAAGGUUUCUAUUUUAAACUCACAGGUUCUCUGAAGCAUUGGCAAGUCUUGGGUAAUAUACCACUCAUGUUGCUGUGGAACAUGUACAAGACUUUAGGGACUUUUUCUGGUUCACUGAAAGCAAAAUCAUUCAAGAGGACAGGGG